rnacentral:rRNA from 1 species
GACGAACGCUGGCGGCGUGCUUAACACAUGCAAGUCGAACGCUGAAGCCCAGCUUUUGUUGGGUGGAUGAGUGGCGAACGGGUGAGUAACACGUGAGUAACCUGCCCCCUUCUUUGGGAUAACGCCCGGAAACGGGUGCUAAUACUGGAUAUUCACUGGUCUUCGCAUGGGGGUUGGUGGAAAGGGUUUUUCUGGUGGGGGAUGGGCUCGCGGCCUAUCAGCUUGUUGGUGGGGUGAUGGCCUACCAAGGCUUUGACGGGUAGCCGGCCUGAGAGGGUGACCGGUCACAUUGGGACUGAGAUACGGCCCGGACUCCUACGGGAGGCAGCAGUGGGGAAGAUUGCACAAUGGGCGCAAGCCUGAUGCAGCGACGCCGCGUGAGGGAUGGAGGCCUGCGGGUUGUGAACCUCUUUCGCUCAUGGUCAAGCCGCAACAAUGGUUGUGGUGAGGGUAGUGGGUAAAGAAGCGCCGGCUAACUACGUG